rnacentral:lncRNA from 1 species
AUCAGCGGCAGGCGCGGCUUGUGAUUGUCACAUUGCUUAUGAAACUGGAGCUUAAAUGCACUCAUUGCACUUCAGACACAACAAAGCGCCAGUGAUCUCAGAGCUGCAGUCGAGAAGCACUGUUUCCAGAUCAUCACUGCCUACAUGGCAGAACAUCAGUGGAGCGUCACAAACUCCAGGAAUCACAAAAAGACCAGCGAACAGGACGAGAGACAAUCUACUGAACCAGGAGAGAAACAGACCAAAAGACUAAUUAAAAAGAACAGCUUUCGUAGAGAGAGGCCAAACUAUUGUCAUGAUUCAGACAGACCUGCAGAGAUUCAUUCUGAUGACAUUCAAAGAUGAGGUGAGAUACUGAUAUAUAUGCAGAGAAUAAUAGAGUUCAAACUGUAGAACUGAUGUAGAACUAUGAUGUAUGAUGACAGUGUUUUCUCUUUCUAGAAAGCGGCAGCUCCUUUUCAUCAUCACUGUCAGUCGCUGAAGCUGCAGAUUCUACGAAACACAGACUCCUCCUUAAGAAACACUCAGUUUUGAUAGCAUUUGUUCUGUGUACAUAUUUAAACCCGUUUUAAAUUCAUUUGAUUUGGUAUAUUUUGUCCUCAUGUCCUCUUGCACAAUUUCCGUUUGCACUGUUUGUCCUGAAUGUUUCAUUUGCACAGUCUGUGAUCAGAGAAUGCAUGUUUUUAUGUUUAAUUAGAUUAACUGAUUUUAUAUAGACUGUUUGUGUAUUUAUAUUUGUUUAUACCACGGCCCUAUGAGUCACAACAAUGUGUUCCUUUUCAUGUCUCUUUACACUAUUUUCUCUGAAAUCUCAAAAAUCCUGUAUAAUGUCUAAAUAAUGUCUGUACAGUUUGACUGAAGAUCUAAAUUCAGUGAAGAUUUAUGUCAGAAUGAACGAUGGUUGAAAGCACCACAAGAGCAUUCACUGUCUAAAAACAACGGCUGAAUCUUUUGAGCAUCAAAGCGUGUGAAAACACGUUCUCCCUGACCGAAUGAAUGCUGAACAGCAGGUCCAGAUACUGCUCAAGGUGGAAACAAACAUGAACUAAUAUGCAAAUAAACCUACUAGCUGUUUACCGUUAUGGUUUUGGUCUGUUUUCUGUGUUUUGGGUCAUGUCCUUGUCUACUGGUGUCCUCAUUCCUG